GGAUUGCAGGCUGCAACCCGCCUGCAUGAAGCCGGAAUCGCUAGUAAUCGCGGAUCAGAAUGCCGCGGUGAAUACGUUCCCGGGUCUUGUACACACCGCCCGUCACACCAUGGGAGUCGGGAAUGCCCGAAGUCAGUGGCCCAACCGGAAGGGGGGAGCUGCCGAAGGCAGGCCCGGUGACUGGGGUGAAGUCGUAACAAGGUAGC
rnacentral:rRNA from 1 species